GCCGGAUUGGCGGAAUGGUAGACGCGGCGCACUCAAAAUGCGUUGCCUUCGGGCGUGUGGGUUCGAGUCCCACAUCCGGUA
rnacentral:tRNA from 1 species